CUCUCUCUCCUUUUGUUUAUGAGGGCUGCAUUGCUCGCAACCCUUGCAAUCCAUUGCGAAACCGUCCAUCAAUACAUCCGUUGCCAUUGUUGUUGCUGACCCAGCCGCUAACAUUGCCAUUGCAUCAUCAUGAUUUCCAGAAUCGGUAGCCCCCCAUCAAAACCCUCUCUGCCACGCUUCCACCAUGAACUGCUCUUGCGGCAGCCAUUUUUUGGCAGCACACCCGUGACCACCGCAUGAAGCUUCAGUCCCUUCGUGCAUCUCACCACCACCAUGCAUCAUCGCCUUCAUUUUUUGAUCUGAUUCAAUGAUUAUUCCUUUUUCUAAAAGAUUUUUUUUUUGUCUGGAUUUAUCUUGGAUACGUGCUUUUCUUUCUUCAAUUUAAUGAGAUUUGGUAUUCUCUUUAAUAAAUUGACGAUUUUUUGCUGAUUGAUUUGGUAAAAUUGGAGCCUUCAUAUUAAGAUUGAUGCACUUAAUCAUUUGCUAGCCUCUUUACCAUGUCUGCAUCUCUCUCUCUCUCUCUCUCUCUCUCUAACUCUCUCUUAGUAUUGAAAAAAAAUGCAGAUGAUUUGUUUGUUAAAAUACCAAAGAGAUGUGAUUUUGUAGAGAAUGGUAUAUAUGCAUUUAGUUUGGUUGUACUCUGUGUGUGUGUGGAGAAUGAUAUAUAUGCAAAGGAGUUGUUUGUUAAAAUGCCAACGAGAUUAUCUGCUUUGACUUCUCAAUUUGGUUGUUGCUAUUUUAGCUUGCCGCUAACCUCUGCACUUGAAUGUUUUCUCCAGAGUGGUUCAUUUCCCUUUGCAUAGAGUUUAGUAGUGAAAUGCUCUCUGUAUAAUGUUGUUACAGGCUCAGUUCGCACUCUUGAUAGGUCAAAUUGAGAGAACAAGGUUGGGAAAAAUAAUUAUGAAGAGAAACUUUCUAAAAGAACUCCUGAUGAACUUGAAAUGAUACGAAAAUAUGUUGGGAAAGGAAGGGCGUUCUGUGCUGGUGGUGAUGUUCUAACUAUGGCCCAUUUCGUAACCACCGGUCAUUGGAGUUUUGGUGCAAAUUUUGCUUGGGAUGAAUACAUCUUUAAUUAUAUAUUGCCAACGUACUGGAAAAUUCAAGU